GAUGAACGCUGGCGGCGUGCUUAACACAUGCAAGUCGAACGGAAAGGCCCAAGCUUGCUUGGGUACUCGAGUGGCGAACGGGUGAGUAACACGUGGGUGAUCUGCCCUGCACUUCGGGAUAAGCCUGGGAAACUGGGUCUAAUACCGGAUAGGACCACAUUUUGGAUGGUGUGGUGGAAAGUUUUUCGGUGUGGGAUGAGCUCGCGGCCUAUCAGCUUGUUGGUGGGGUAAUGGCCUACCAAGGCGUCGACGGGUAGCCGGCCUGAGAGGGUGUACGGCCACAUUGGGACUGAGAUACGGCCCAGACGCCUACGGGAGGCAGCAGUGGGGAAUAUUGCACAAUGGGCGCAAGCCUGAUGCAGCGACGCCGCGUGGGGGAUGACGGCCUUCGGGUUGGAAACUCCUUUCGCUAGGGACGAAGCGUUAUGUGACGGUACCUGGAGAAGAAGCACCGGCUAACUACGUG
rnacentral:rRNA from 1 species